GGUAGUGGAACAGCUGAUGUCUUGUUUGAGCAGCAGGUCUUCAGAUAACGCGCAGUAAAUUCUGUAUUUCUCCGUUAGAAGCGUCUGUCCUCACUGUUUCUUCCUCACAGGAACAAUGGUGAACUGCUGUGGUCUGCUCACUGACAAGAAGGAACCAGUUCCUCUGAAGAGCAUUGAUGCUCAACUGGAGGUGAAGGACCAUGUAGCUACUCUGGUCUCCACUCUGAACUAUGAGAACAAGGAGGACAAACCUCUAGAGGCUGUGUUUGUCUUCCCUCUGCCUGGAGAUGCUGCCGUGUGUCAUUUCAGUGCUCAGAUUGGAAAAACACACAUUGUAGCUGAGGUGA